rnacentral:rRNA from 1 species
GAGCGAAUCGAUGGGAGCUUGCUCCCUGAGAUUAGCGGCGGACGGGUGAGUAACACGUGGGCAACCUGCCUAUAAGACUGGGAUAACUUCGGGAAACCGGAGCUAAUACCGGAUACGUUCUUUUCUCGCAUGAGAGAAGAUGGAAAGACGGUUUACGCUGUCACUUAUAGAUGGGCCCGCGGCGCAUUAGCUAGUUGGUGAGGUAAUGGCUCACCAAGGCGACGAUGCGUAGCCGACCUGAGAGGGUGAUCGGCCACACUGGGACUGAGACACGGCCCAGACUCCUACGGGAGGCAGCAGUAGGGAAUCUUCCGCAAUGGACGAAAGUCUGACGGAGCAACGCCGCGUGAACGAAGAAGGCCUUCGGGUCGUAAAGUUCUGUUGUUAGGGAAGAACAAGUACCAGAGUAACUGCUGGUACCUUGACGGUACCUAACCAGAAAGCCACGGCUAACUACGUGCCAGCAGCCGCGGUAAUACGUAGGUGGCAAGCGUUGUCCGGAAUUAUUGGGCGUAAAGCGCGCGCAGGUGGUUCCUUAAGUCUGAUGUGAAAGCCCACGGCUCAACCGUGGAGGGUCAUUGGAAACUGGGGAACUUGAGUGCAGAA